rnacentral:rRNA from 1 species
AUUGAACGCUGGCGGCAGGCUUAACACAUGCAAGUCGAACGGCAGCGGGGGAGAAGCUUGCUUUUCCUGCCGGCGAGUGGCGAACGGGUGAGUAAUACAUCGGAACGUGCCCUGUAGUGGGGGAUAACUAGUCGAAAGAUUAGCUAAUACCGCAUACGACCUGAGGGUGAAAGUGGGGGACCGCAAGGCCUCAUGCUAUAGGAGCGGCCGAUGUCUGAUUAGCUAGUUGGGGGGGUAAAGGCCUACCAAGGCGACGAUCAGUAGCUGGUCUGAGAGGACGGUCAGCCACACUGGGACUGAGACACGGCCCAGGCUACUACGGGAGGCAGCAGUGGGGAAUUUUGGACAAUGGGCGAAAGCCUGAUCCAGAAAUGCCGCGUGUGUGAAGAAGGCCUUCGGGUUGUAAAGCACUUUUGUCCGGAAAGAAAUGGCUCUGGUUAAUACCUGGGGUCGAUGACGGUACCGGAAGAAUAAGGACCGGCUAACUACGUGCCAGCCGCCGCCGUAA